UGCCAGACUCCUACGGGAGGCAGCAGUGGGGAAUAUUGCACAAUGGGGGAAACCCUGAUGCAGCGACGCCGCGUGAGUGAAGAAGUAUUUCGGUAUGUAAAGCUCUAUCAGCAGGGAAGAAAAUGACGGUACCUGAUUAAGAAGCCCCGGCUAACUACGUGCCAGCAGCCGCGGUAAUACGUAGGGGGCAAGCGUUAUCCGGAUUUACUGGGUGUAAAGGGAGCGUAGACGGCAGCGCAAGUCUGAUGUGAAAACCCGGGGCCCAACCCCGGGAGUGCAUUGGAAACUGCCAGGCUGGAGUGUCGGAGGGGUAAGCGGAAUUCCUAGUGUAGCGGUGAAAUGCGUAGAUAUUAGGAGGAACACCAGUGGCGAAGGCGGCUUACUGGACGACUACUGACGCUGAGGCUCGAAAGCGUGGGGAGCAAACAGGAUUAGAUACCCGCGUA
rnacentral:rRNA from 1 species